CAACAAUCCCAAAAUUCAAUCUUCUAGUACUGUCUUCUUUUCUCUUCUAUUCUGCUCUCCUUCCUUUUACAAUGGCAAGUUUUGGGUCAGCAGUUGUUUGUGCAAUUCUAGUCCUGAUCAGUAUGGUGGUGCCAAAUUUGGCAAAAGUUUACACUGUGGGAGACUCCACUGGCUGGACAACGGGCGUUGAUUAUAGCACCUGGACUAGCGGCAAGACUUUCACAGCUGGUGACAGCCUUGUAUUUAACUAUGGAGGAGGGCACACAGUGGAUGAAGUGAGUGCCAGUGACUACAACACAUGCACAGUGGGGAAUGCAAUUACUUCAGACAACAGUGGAGCCACCACCAUAGCCCUCAAGACUGCAGGGACUCACUACUACAUAUGUGGAGUGAUUGGGCAUUGUGGAAGUGGCAUGAAGAUUGCAGUAACUGUUAAGGCAGCAUCAUCAUCAGGGACUACUACUACUACCCCAUCUUCAGGUUUAGGGUCUAGUACCACUCCUGCUACUACCUCACCUGCUGGGACUAAUACCACCAUCUACAAACCUUCCUCUAAUAAUAUGCCCGAAUCUGCUUCAACAACUCUUUCUCCAUAUGUGGCUUGUGGCUACGGUGGCUACCUGGGUUGCAUUAUUUUGUGCGAUGGUUUUCUCAUUGUAAAGUAUGGCAACCUAACCAGGAUAGAGGCAGUGCUAUCUUUCAGUUUCUUUUCUCUUGGUCUUUUUCCCGAAUACAAAUUAAGG
rnacentral:misc_RNA from 1 species